rfam:Ciona savignyi cont_37962, whole genome shotgun sequence.
GCCUCUGACCUUUCCAGAUUGAAUAUACCCGAUCUCGUCUGAUCUCGGAAGUCGAGCAAUCUCGGGCUUGGUUAGUACUUGGAUGAGUGACCGCUUGGGAAUACCAAGUGUGAUAAGCA